CGUCCGCUCUGGGUUAGUCGGGUCCUAAGCUGAGGCCGACAGGCGUAGGCGAUGGAUAACAGGUUGAUAUUCCUGUACCACCAAUAUUCGUUUUAAGCGAUGGGGGGACGCAGUAGGAUAGGCGAAGCGUGCUGUUGGAGUGCACGUCCAAGCAGUAAGAUUGAGUGUUAGGCAAAUCCGGCACUCAUUAAGAUUGAGCUGUGAUGGGGAGAGGAAAUUGUUUCCUCGAGUCGUUGAUUUCACACUGCCGAGAAAAGCCUCUAGCUAGAAUAUCGGUGCCCGUACCGCAAACCGACACAGGUAGUCAAGAUGAGAAUUCUAAGGUGAGCGAGCGAACUCUCGUUAAGGAACUCGGCAAAAUGACCCCGUAACUUCGGGAGAAGGGGUGCUCUUUGGGGUUCACGCUCUGAAGAGCCGCAGUGAAUAGGCCCAAGCGACUGUUUAUCAAAAACACAGGUCUCUGCUAAACCGUAAGGUGACGUAUAGGGGCUGACGCCUGCCCGGUGCUGGAAGGUUAAGAGGAGUGGUUAGCGCAAGCGAAGCUACGAAUCGAAGCCCCAGUAAACGGCGGCCGUAACUAUAACGGUCCUAAGGUAGCGAAAUUCCUUGUCGGGUAAGUUCCGACCCGCACGAAAGGCGUAACGAUUUGGGCACUGUCUCAACGAGAGACUCGGUGAAAUCAUAGUACCGGUGAAGAUGCCGGUUACCCGCGACAGGACGGAAAGACCCCGUGGAGCUUUACUGUAGCCUGAUAUUGAAAUUCGGUACAGUUUGUACAGGAUAGGUAGGAGCCUUAGAAGCGUGAGCGCUAGCUUACGUGGAGGCACUGGUGGGAUACUACCCUAAUUGUAUUGGAUUUCUAACCCGCAGCACUUAUCGUGCUGGGAGACAGUGUCAGGCGGGCAGUUUGACUGGGGCGGUCGCCUCCUAAAGUGUAACGGAGGCGCUCAAAGGUUCCCUCAGAAUGGUUGGAAAUCAUUCAUAGAGUGUAAAGGCAUAAGGGAGCUUGACUGCGAGACCUACAAGUCGAGCAGGGUCGAAAGACGGACUUAGUGAUCCGGUGGUUCCGCAUGGAAGGGCCAUCGCUCAACGGAUAAAAGCUACCCCGGGGAUAACAGGCUUAUCUCCCCCAAGAGUUCACAUCGACGGGGAGGUUUGGCACCUCGAUGUCGGCUCAUCGCAUCCUGGGGCUGUAGUCGGUCCCAAGGGUUGGGCUGUUCGCCCAUUAAAGCGGUACGCGAGCUGGGUUCAGAACGUCGUGAGACAGUUCGGUCCCUAUCCGUCGUGGGCGUAGGAAAUUUGAGAGGAGCUGUCCUUAGUACGAGAGGACCGGGAUGGACAUACCUCUGGUGUACCAGUUGUCGUGCCAACGGCAUAGCUGGGUAGCUAUGUAUGGACGGGAUAAGUGCUGAAAGCAUCUAAGCAUGAAGCCCCCCUCGAGAUGAGAUUUCCCAACUUCGGUUAUAAGAUCCCUCGAAGAUGACGAGGUAAAUAGGUUCGAGGUGGAAGCGUAGUGAUACGUGGAGCUGACGAAUACUAAUCGAUCGAAGACUUAAUCAAAUU
rnacentral:rRNA from 1 species